AGGUAUGAUUUGGUUUGGAUGUGCUUUCAAGUUUCAAAUUAAGAGAUAAGUUUAAGGUUUCAAAAUAAGAGAUUAAUUUUCUGAGAAAGUCCAUAUUUGGUUUUUGUAAUUUUGUAGCUUGGAAGAGGUUUCAAACUACUAACCUUCAUGGAGUAGCUGGCAUAAACUUCAAAAUUUUUAGUUGUUGUAAUUACUACUAUUACCACUACGAAGGAGAAAUCGCCUAUCUCAAUUUUUGGAUCUGAUCUAACAAUUUACCAACAGGUCCUUCUUUCUAUCCUUCCGGUUCUACCAUGGCAUUUUCUUUAGUGACAUGGAUUGCAUGGAAGUUGUUUACCGGGCAGCCCAUAGAUCAUCCAAAAGAAAAUCGUAUGAUAAGAUCAGAUUUCAAAAGAUGGAUUGUAGUAAUUAAAGUUCAGUUUGCCCUUUAAGAUCAUUUGAAGAUGAGGGCAUUCUUUUUCAUGUUCAAAUUUAUGAAUAAUUAUAAUAAUAAUAUUUAUUG